CAGUAGGGAAUCUUCCACAAUGGACGCAAGUCUGAUGGAGCAACGCCGCGUGAGUGAAGAAGAUCUUUGGAUCGUAAAACUCUGUUGUUAGAGAAGAACACGAGUGAGAGUAACUGUUCAUUCGAUGACGGUAUCUAACCAGCAAGUCACGGCUAACUACGNGCCAG
rnacentral:rRNA from 1 species